AGUGGUUCUCCGGCUCUUGCCGCUGCGGUGGCUUUGGGUCCCUCUUCGUCUGGCUUUCGCAGCCGAGGAGACUCUCUGGAAAAUGGGCUACUCGAAGAGAGAUGCUCCGUUGCCUCAGGCGGAGGGCGGGGACGCCGGGCCUGCGACACUUCAUCUUUUCCUGGCCCCGAGGUGGCUGGGAUCCGUUCCACCUUCGGCCCAGUUCCCCAGCCAGGCCCCUGAGCCGUUUAGCCCGGAUUUGCGACCCGUGAGGUUUUGAGGACAAGUGAAAAGAGCUCUUUGUGUGGAUUUUGCUGCAAUGUUUCUCUCCUACCCAGUAGGAAUGAGGCCUUAGCUUGCGCGGAAAAACCCAGGCCUGGUUUGAGAACGUGUGAAAAUGCACCGCCUUCUAAGUGGCUUUAUUAUACGUGGAUGUUUAAGUUACUUAAACUACAAGCUCCCUCUCCAAAAGGAUUCUUUUUUUUUUUUUCUUUUUUUUUGAGACGGAGUCUCGCUAUGUUGCCCAGCCUGGAGUGCAGUGGCGCGAUCUUGCUCACUGCAAGCUCUGCCUCCCGGGUUCACGCCAUUGUCCUGCCUCAGCCUUCCAAGUAGCUGGGACUACAGGCGUCCGCCAACACGCCUGGCUAAUUUUUUGUAUUUUUAGUAGAGACGUAGUUUCACCGUGUUAGGAUGGUCUCGAUCUCCUGACCUCGUGAUCCGCCCGCCUCGGCCUCCCAAAGUGCUAGGAUUACAGGCGUGAGCCACCGCGCCCGGCCAGAAUUGUUUGUUUGUUUGUUUGAGACGAAGGAGUCUCGCGCUCCGUGGCCCCGGCUGAAGUGCAGUGGCGCGAUCUCUGCUCACUGUAACCUCCAUCUCCCGGGUUCAAGUGAUCCUGGCGCGUCAGCCUCCCGAGUAGCUGGAAUUACAGACGCCCGUCACUACGCCCGGCUAAUUUUUGUAUUUUAAUAGAGACGGGGUUUCGCUAUUUUGGCCAGGGUGGUCUGGACCUCCUGACCUCAAGAUAUCCGCCCGCCUUAGCCUGCCAAAGUGCUGGGAUUACAGGCGUGAGCUACCGCGCCCGGCCAAAAGGAUAGUUCUUGACACGACCUUUCUUCCAUUAGAGGUCAAGCUAAGAAAAUAUGUAAACCCUCUCACAAGCAGUAGAAUUCCUAGGCAGUUUAGGAACUGUGUUGAGGCACUUGUACAUCUUUUCUAUCCAGGAUUUCAAAUGCAGUAACAAGUGCUUUGAUCUUUUUUUUUUUUUUUUUUUUUUUUUUUUCUUUUUUUCUUGAGACACAGCCUGGCUCUGUUGCCCAGGCUGUAGUGCAGUAGCCACCGCGCCCGGCCGAUUUUUCAUCGUUUGAUACAAACAGAAUCAUGCCAAAUGUCCGGAUCAGAUGUUUGUUUCAGUUUUAGGGUCUCUGACUGCCUUUUUAGGACUACAAGCAACACUCUUGCCAGUUCCUGGAACGGUGCUUGGUGGAGUAUCAGCUGAUGUAGCAAGAUUUUUUUGGAUCAGCUUUCUAGCAUUCUGUGACAUGACAUCAGGCUGAGUCUUCUGGCCAGUGUUACUCCGGACUGCUACAGAGAAAGAGUUGGUGGCUCAAUUUACAUGUAAACAGAACAUGGAGGGGG
rnacentral:lncRNA from 1 species